rnacentral:rRNA from 1 species
GACGAACGCUGGCGGCGUGCUUAACACAUGCAAGUCGAACGGAAAGGCCCUGCUUUUGUGGGGUGCUCGAGUGGCGAACGGGUGAGUAACACGUGAGUAACCUGCCCUUGACUUUGGGAUAACUUCAGGAAACUGGGGCUAAUACCGGAUAGGAGCUCCUGCUGCAUGGUGGGGGUUGGAAAGUUUCGGCGGUUGGGGAUGGACUCGCGGCUUAUCAGCUUGUUGGUGGGGUAGUGGCUUACCAAGGCUUUGACGGGUAGCCGGCCUGAGAGGGUGACCGGCCACAUUGGGACUGCGAUACGGCCCAGACUCCUACGGGAGGCAGCAGUGGUGAAUAUUGCACAAUGGGCGGAAGCCUGAUGCAGCAACGCCGCGGGCGGGAUGACGGCCUUCGGGUUGUAAACCGCUUUCGCGUGUGACGAAGCGUGAGUGACGGUAAUGGGUAAAGAAGCACCGGCUAACUACGUG